GUUGUAAUACUCCAUAUGUAGAUCCUGCAGCAAUGGAAAACAGUCCUUUUAUUUACUGUAUCAUUACUAACAUCACUAUAAAAUUAAACCACUAAACAAAAGACAUAAUUUGAAUUUCACAAUCCAACGGUUGAGGUAACAAGACCUUGUGAUCACAAUCUAAGCUGCUUGCCUCAUGCACUCAGUGAAAAUAUCAAUUGAGCUGUGAUUUCCAGCGACAUUAUGGGCCAUAUGCAAGCAGCCCUUUUAAUCAGAGACGAGGUGCAGGCAAUGUGCUGGUGAUUUCAAUGACCUGCUUGUCUAAAAAUUACAAUCCGCCAGUUAUUAAGUCAUCUGUUGACUAAAAAAAGUAAGAAAAGUGAAUAGACUUUGGUCCUUUUGAGAAUCGGAUGUACAGAAUUCAACAAAAUUGGACAUAUAUAUUCAGAAAAAUAAAAGACAAUUGUUCCAUUAAAAUUAUUUUACAUACACAGAGUUCUGGAAUGAAACUCCUGAUGGUGCAGUCCUAUAGGUCUAACUCAAUCUGACCUAAUGACAUCAUUAUCACACAGCGGAUUGGUUCUCUCCUGUAUUGGUAGCCAAUGAGCUCGCUGCCCAACAUUCAAAUAUAUGACAGGUGCUUGCCGUUGCAGUUGCAGCUUGCUUCAGAACAGUGAAAUCAACAUCAAAGAUAAGUGGAUGCUCUUCUAAUCCAUAUCGCUCUCCACUCUGCUUCAGUCCCUGUCCCAGCCCACCGGCUACUCUGAACGACCUGGUCAAAUUCCUGUUCGAUCCAGUGAGUGUGGGCAGAAAGCCCUGGUGGUUUCUCAGUAAAACUGUAAAAAAACUGUAGCAUAUGGAUGGUUCAUCUUCAGGGCUUCAGACCAACAUAGAGAAAAGUGUGACCUGUUUCUUUUCUAGAUUAAGCAUUACUGUGCUGUUCUGCUCUGUGUUUCUUUUGUUAUUUGAUUCUAGUAAUCUUUUGAAAUUUGGUACAGUAUUUGGGUUUUGUGUGGUUUUCUCCAUUUCAUUACUCUGGUCAGCUGAAACCGAAGAACAUGGCCCUAGCAACAGCAAGUUGCAGGAAUGUUCAGCCAGCCAACAUUAAACAGCCUCCAUCAAGAUGGCCACAGAGGAGUACACGAUUACGCAUCCUACAUGGGGGGAAACAGUCAUACACACACAACAAGCAUCUGAAUUUAUAAACUAGUCAGCCUUAAUUGCCUGUGCAAAUAAAAUCAUAAACUCCCACUCAUGUAUUCCUCAUUUUCUCUGCCUUUUUUGCCUGCACUCUGUGUAGUCCAAGAAGGUGGUGAGAUUCUUGCACACCGUGACUCACAGAAUCCUGACAGAUCCUCCUGCACAGUGUGAUUCUCAGCACAGCAGAGGGUGGUGGAGACACACUGAUUUAGAGAUAACUAAAGUAAUCCACCCUAAAACAACUCCAGCUCAUGAGGCAUGGGGUUGUUGUCUGGUCACUCAAUAUGAAGUAUCUGACAGUCUGGCAAACAGACAAGGGACAUCUGGCAGAGGAAGUCUGAGUAUGUUUCGACAAAGUAUUGUUUCUACAGUCUGACAGAAGUGUGAGGCUGAUCUGUUGGUCUUUCCCUUAGGCUUUACAGCCUGUCAUGGACACGCUCUGAAAACCGGGCCUGUGUGGUCACAUGGAACUCAACACUUGACCUCAUGAGAGGCGAACAGAAAAAUGCCCUUUGGCGGGGCAGAGGUGUCCGCACUCGCUCACGGUACUUCCUGCCUGUUAGAGGUGCCAUGUCAACCUCAGGUGACAAUGCUGACCGACUUAGAGUGAAGAGAGAGAGCAGAUCACCAUCUUGCCUUAAUUAACUUAUUUCAGAUGUCGAUUUGCAUAUACACACACAUACACUACUCUCGCUACAGUUUAAGCUUCAGGUUUAUUAAAAGCUCCUCAUUUAAAUAUUACCUCAAACACUGAAUCACACUACUUUACCAAUUAUAAUUUUAUUCCUCAGGAAAUUAAAUCAACUUUCCAUACUUGCCAAUAAUUAGCUGUGAAAUUAAAAUAUCUUGCACUUAAUGAUGUACUGGCAUUAUA
rnacentral:lncRNA from 1 species